rnacentral:rRNA from 1 species
AACGAACGCUGGCGGCAUGCCUAACACAUGCAAGUCGAACGAGACCUUCGGGUCUAGUUGCGCACGGGUGCGUAACGCGUGGGAACCUGCCCUUAGGUUCGGAAUAACUCCCCGAAAGGGGUGCUAAUACCGGAUAAUGUCUUCGGACCAAAGAUUUAUCGCCUUUGGAUGGGCCCGCGUUGGAUUAGCUAGUUGGUAGGGUAAAAGCCUACCAAGGCGACGAUCCAUAGCUGGUCUGAGAGGAUGAUCAGCCACACUGGGACUGAGACACGGCCCAGACUCCUACGGGAGGCAGCAGUGGGGAAUAUUGGACAAUGGGCGAAAGCCUGAUCCAGCAAUGCCGCGUGAGUGAUGAAGGCCUUAGGGCUGUAAAGCUCUUUUACCCGGGAUGAUAAUGACAGUACCGGGAGAAUAAGCUCCGGCUAACUCCGUG